AGUAAGGGCCUACGAUGGAUGCCUUGGCAUCGAAUGGCGAUGAAGGACGUGGGUUGCUGCGUUAAGCGUCGGGGAGUCGUAACCAGGCUUUGAUCCGGCGAUAUCCGAAUGGGGAAACCCGGCGGUCAGAAAGGCCGUCACCCGAAAGGGAGCCAACCAGGGGAAUUGAAACAUCUUACUACCCUGAGGAAAAGAAAAUAACCAUGAUUCCGUAAGUAGCGGUGAGCGAACGCGGAAGAGCCCAAACCUCUGUCUAUGUCACAGCUUCAGGGCGUUGUAGCAGGGGUGUUGUAGGAGCUUCUUGGAUCCGCCUGAAUGGGUCCGGAGAGUUACAAAGUUUGCGCCUAGCCGAUCGGUCUGGAAAGUCCGACCAUAGAGGGUGAUAGUCCCGUAGGCGAAAGGCGUAAGCCUCUUUGAAGAUUUCCUGAGUACGAUCCGGCACGUGUAACCGGGUCGGAACCCGCGGGGACCACCCCGCAAGGCUAAAUACAUUCGAUGACCGAUAGUGAACGAGUACCGUGAGGGAAAGGUGA
rnacentral:rRNA from 16 species